GCUCUUAUGGUGUAAUGGUUAGCACUCUGGACUUUGAAUCCAGCGAUCCGGGUUCAAAUUCCAGUAGGAGCU
rnacentral:tRNA from 1 species